rnacentral:lncRNA from 1 species
UUGCAACUUUGCAAGGGCCGUGAAAUUUAGCUAAACGGCACGCCUCGAAUUCCAAGGAUAAACUCCAAAGCAAAUAAAAUGAGGGCCAUGCAAUUGACAUUUUUGUUUGGCAUUGCACACCUCGAUCUACUUUGCGUAAAGGUUUCUAUGUUAAUCUAGGAGGGCCACGUACUAAUUGAUCUCGCUUACUCAUGCCGCGCCUCGAAUUUUCAAUAAAAAAACUAACCAGUCUGUCACCACUGUUAAACUAGUCCAAGAGUCAAAAGAAGGAGAUGAAACAAUGCUGGCAUUACUUUCACGCCAAUUACAGCCCCAAACUAGCACACCAUCAGAAAUAUUGAAAGACACUAUCAGGAGCAUGAAUACACCAUUCAACUAAUGAGGAAAGUUAACUGAUGCAGCCCCAAACUAGCAUACCAUCAGAACUAUGGAACUACACUAAAGCAGGAGCAUGCGUACACCAUUCGAUUAGUGAGGAAAGUUAGCUUAUUCAAUUUGUAUACCUCAAACAUAAGUACCUGAAGUCAAAAAUAUAGAGAAGUCAAGCUAUUUGAUGCCAAUUGCACCUACUGUUACCAGUGGAGGGUUCGAGCCAACAUUGUCUCUAUUUUUAAUUUUCGAAAAUGAAGAAGUGUACUCUACUCUGUAACCUUGAAUCAUGAUUUGAACCUUUUUUAUUUCUUCUUUCAUGUACACUGCUUUGUAGUAGCACAAUCAGUCUUUCAACAUAGAAUCUUAGAAAGAGUACUACUGAAAAUUUGAAACAACCUUUAACUAGUAAAACUUUUCAUGUACCGAUUGCCACUUAGUAUAUGAUUUUGAAACAGCACAAAAAUAGACAAAGCGACACCUGAAACAAAUGCUGCAAACUCCAUCAUGAAACAACAUAAAUAUAACACUAAAAUACUUGUUGCUACCCUACAACCACACUUCUAAGAAGGAAGUUGACCAUGCUACAGAGGAAAGGGAAUUCGCAAGGGUCUAUCCAUGGCUGGACAAAACAGAAUAGCCUGCGACGUGGUCACACAGGAUAGAUUUCGAUUAAACCAAAACAGAUUCAGUAACGGGUGCUAAUAGGGCAGAAUCUAUGUUCAAAACUGCCCAGAUCCACUGCCUAAAUAAUGCAAAAUAGGACAGACUUCAGCAAGGACAACAGUCUGCACAAAUGUCCAAAGAUACCGCACGUAUUAGCCCGAUCUAUUGCUGAAAUUGAAUUCUUCAGCAACUCGAAAGAGCAAGAUUACUGUGGCAGUACCAAGGCAGAUGAAAUUUGGACAAAGGAGGGAAAAUAUAGCAAAUAUGAGCAUACACAAUCAGGGAAGCAAUUUGGCUUCAACCCCAAAUUUAAACCAAAAUCUGAUAAGAAUGAAUUUUCUAGCGACGUACCAGAUUCACAAACUCUUGUAGUCAACCAAGAAUCCUACUGCCCGCAUCAUUCAACAUGAAGAAACCAAGACAAACUAACAUGGAUCUAACUCAGUAAAACAUGAACCAACGUAGAUUAGUACAAGAUUUUGAAAUCAAAUAGAACUGGAUACUACAUGGCUCCCUCAGAUUCAACCUAGGCAACAUUAAUAUCCUAAGAACUCAAGAAGAAUUACCAAGAAUUAGAUUUAGGAUUUAAGUAACAUAUUUCAAAUACAACCUCAAGAGAACAAACAAAAUGCUCAAAGGAACUGCUUCAUAAAUACAAUAGAUGCAUAGUUUUGACGGCAUGAAGAUCAGUAUGCAUUUUUACAUAAAGACAAGAAAGCAACUCGAAGCAAAUGUCAAGCAGAUAUUAGCGAAGACGAACAGAUUAAGGACUUAAUAAGCUGGAGACGAGUGGAUCCAAACCAUCAGAGAUAAGCAUGUUUAGAAAAUGAACCAAAGCGUCAGUGAACGUAUUGCCUACAGCUUAAUUCAAAACUAAAUUGUGACUCAACCAUUCUUAUCACCAACUAAACAUGUAAUUUGCCAAAUUAAAAUUGAAUCAUAUAAGAUUAAGAUCAAAGAUCAAACACAACCUCAAAAUGUCGAAACAAAGUCAAAUACACAAGAUAGCAUACUCAAAUCAGUCAGCAAUCGACCUCAAAAAGCGAUCAAAGCAACACUUGGAAGUACAUAUCUCAACAGAACCCAAAACUGAAAAGAAGAAGCUAAAGAAGGAUUUCUAACAUUGCAGAAUUAAACCAGAAGCAACUGCCAAAUUCUCAUCCUUUCAAAAAUGAUUUCAGCAUUCAUUCAACAUUCAAACUACAACAAGUACAUACUCACUUUGUUUUUAACACCCUAACUCAAACAAUUAAAAAUAUGAAUUGACUGAAGCCUAGCAAAGUGUUGUGAUAGUUCCAGAUGCUGAGACGAACUGACUGGAUCGACAACACUCAAUGAGCAUCUAAGAGCAACUUCAGAACUCAUUUUUCAUAUACAUAGCUAAACCAAACCAGAAAUACAGUAAAAGUAUCAAGCAAACACAUUACAACCAAGAGGCACCAAGAUUUAAACAGUUCUAGAACAACAUGACUCAAGCCCUCGAUACAUUUUUUUUAACCAGACCAACAGGCACCAAGAGUUAAACAGUUCUAGAACAGCGGGACUCAAGCCCUCGAUACAUUUUUAACCAAAACACUAAAGAUAGACUAUAAGAGAUGAGUAAGGAACCUGAUUCAGUAAACAAUUUCGAUUAACUUGCUCGAACGUUGAAUACAAGUGGGAAGGUAGUAGCUGAUAUUAGCACAAUCAGUAAUAGAAACGGGUAGAAAUCAGAAGCUCGGACAGCAGCGAACUCAGCAACUUUCAAUCGAGCCCCAUAUUCAAACGAAAUCGAGCCCAGAAAGAAGAUACGAAAGUAUUUUGAUUUUUUUUUUCUUAAUUUUCU